GAGAGCCGGAUGCGAUGAAAGUCGCAAGUCCGGUUCGGAGGGGGGCAGUUGGAAAAGUGCCCAACCGGGACGGUUGGGGAACUCGCUGGCUGCCUACCCUAC
rnacentral:ncRNA from 1 species